GUGAGGAAUAUUGGACAAUGGGCGCAAGCCUGAUCCAGCCAUGCCGCGUGCAGGAAGACGCAUCUAUGGUGUGUAAACUGCUUUUGUACGGGAAGAAACACUCCCUCGUGAGGGAGCUUGACGGUACCGUAAGAAUAAGGAUCGGCUAACUCCGUGCCAGCAGCCGCGGUAAUACGGAGGAUCCAAGCGUUAUCCGGAAUCAUUGGGUUUAAAGGGUCCGUAGGCGGUUUAAUAAGUCAGUGGUGAAAGCCCAUCGCUCAACGAUGGAACGGCCAUUGAUACUGUUAGACUUGAAUUACAAGGAAGUAACUAGAAUAUGUAGUGUAGCGGUGAAAUGCGUAGAUAUUACAUGGAAUACCAAUUGCGAAGGCAGGUUACUACUUGUAGAUUGACGCUGAUGGACGAAGGCGUGGGGAGCGAACAGGAUUAGAUACCCGUGUAGUCC
rnacentral:rRNA from 1 species